rnacentral:tRNA from 1 species
GCUUUCGUAGUGUAACGGUAGCACACUCGGCGCGUAUUUAAGAGGUCCAGGUUCGAGUCCCGGCAAGAGCA